rnacentral:rRNA from 1 species
UACGUAGGGUGCAAGCGUUAAUCGGAAUCAUUGGGUUUAAAGGGUCCGUAGGCGGUUUAAUAAGUCAGUGGUGAAAGCCCAUCGCUCAACGGUGGAACGGCCAUUGAUACUGUUAAACUUGAAUUAUUAGGAAGUAACUAGAAUAUGUAGUGUAGCGGUGAAAUGCUUAGAGAUUACAUGGAAUACCAAUUGCGAAGGCAGGUUACUACUAAUGGAUUGACGCUGAUGGACGAAAGCGUGGGUAGCGAACAGG